CAGUCGCCGCGGUAAUACGAAGGGGGCUAGCGUUGCUCGGAAUGACUGGGCGUAAAGGGCGCGUAGGUGGUUAUGUAAGUGAGAUGUGAAAUCCCCGGGCUCAACCUGGGAACUGCAUCUUAUACUGCGUAGCUGGAGUGCAGUAGAGGGUAGUGGAAUUUCCGGUGUAGCGGUGAAAUGCGUAGAUAUCGGAAGGAACACCAGUGGCGAAGGCGGCUACCUGGACUGACACUGACACUGAGGCGCGAAAGCGUGGGGAGCAAACAGGAUUAGAUACCCGUGUAGUCCCUGUCUCUUAUAC
rnacentral:rRNA from 1 species